CUAUUUUUUUUACAUACUAUGUAGUACGGUAGUAUGUAUUUUAUACAUAAUCUCUUUUCAAGACCACCUCCGUUCUAGUCGAACAUGGCUGUGCUGCCUUAGCCAAACAACUGUUCCAGGAUGAAGAGGAUUUAAACCAGGAGUUAUUCAUUGACGGGGGGAUUCACUUAGAGACUGUUUGGACUGUAACAGUUCUUCUCUGGAGGAAAUUGGUAGCCUAGUGGGUAGAGCUUUGGGCUAUCAACCGGAAGAUUGGCGGUUCAAAUCCAGGCUCUGCUAUGCAGCCACUGUUGGGUCCCUGAUCAAGGCCCUUAACCCUGUCUGCUCCAGGGGCGCCGUACGAUGGCUGACCCUGCGCUCUGACCCCAGCUUCCAAACAAGCUGGGAUAUGUGAAGAAAGAAUUUCAUUGUACUGUACACCUGUAUAUGUAUAUAUGACAAAUAAAGUAUAUAUUCUUC